GAUGAACGCUGACAGAAUGCUUAACACAUGCAAGUCAUUGGCGAAGCUGCGCUUGCGCAGUCUAGCCAAGGCGGACGGGUGAGUAACGCGUAAGGAACUUGCCCUGCAGACAGGGAUAACAGACGGAAACGACUGAUAACACCUGGUAUUGUCAGGCUGGCGCAUGCCGGCCUGAUGAUAGGAGACGCUGCAGGAGAGCCUUGCGUCCUAUUAGCUAGUUGGUGGGGUAACGGCCCACCAAGGCGAUGAUAGGUAGCCGGCCUGGGAGGGUGAACGGCCACAAGGGGACUGGGAUACGGCCCUUACUCCUACGGGAGGCAGCAGUGGGGAAUAUUGGACAAUGGGGGCAACCCUGAUCCAGCAAUUCUGUGUGCACGAAGAAGGUUUUCGGAUUGUAAAGUGCUUUCAGCAGGGAAGAAGAAAGUGACGGUACCUGCAGAAGAAGCGACGGCUAAAUACGUG
rnacentral:rRNA from 1 species